UACGGAGGGAGCUAGCGUUGUUCGGAAUUACUGGGCGUAAAACGCACGUAGGCGGCUUUUUAAGUCAGGGGUGAAAUCCCGGGGCUCAACCCCGGAACUGCCCUUGAAACUGGAGAGCUAGAAUCUUGGAGAGGCGAGUGGAAUUCCGAGUGUAGAGGUGAAAUUCGUAGAUAUUCGGAAGAACACCAGUGGCGAAGGCGACUCGCUGGACAAGUAUUGACGCUGAGGUGCGAAAGCGUGGGGAGCAAACAGG
rnacentral:rRNA from 1 species